rnacentral:miRNA from 1 species
ACUUAGCAGGUUGUAUUAU